rfam:Oryza glumipatula chromosome 9, whole genome shotgun sequence.
AAAAAAAUAAAUAAUGGGUUUCCGUAUCCAACGUUUAACUGUUCGUCUUAAUAUGAAAUUUUUUUAUAAUUAGUAUUUUCAUUGUUGUUAGAUGAUAAAACAUGACUAAUACUUUAUACGUGACUUUAUCUUUUUAAUUUUUUUAAAUAAGACGGACGGUUAAAUGUUGGACACGGAAACCCAGUGCCUGUCUUUUU